CAUAAAUGCAUCAGCUUCCAUAUCAGUUGACAAUGAUUCUGUGAUUUCACCAUGUUGGUGCCAAACAACAUAAUCACGUUGAAAUCCAAAUCGGUAAAGAUGCAAUCUAAUGUCGUUUCUUUUAUAAUAUCUAGCUCCAGCACAACGAAUGCAAGGGCAUCGGAUAUAUUCUUCAUUUGUCCCAACGAAAUUUAAAAAUUCAUCAACUCCAUCCACAAACUUAGGAUUUAUAGUGGUAUUCGAUAAAAGACGUUGAUACAUCCAACUUCGGUCUUCAUUCGACAUUCU
rnacentral:lncRNA from 1 species